rnacentral:rRNA from 1 species
CGAGCGGAUGAUGGAGGAGCUUGCUCCUCCUGAUUCAGCGGCGGACGGGUGAGUAACACUUUGGGCAACCUGCCCUGUAGAUUGGGAUAACUCCGGGAAACCGGGGCUAAUACCGAAUAACCCACCGGACCUCAUGGUCUGGUGUUGAAAGACGGCAUCUCGCUGUCACUACAGGAUGGGCCCGCGGCGCAUUAGCUAGUUGGUGAGGUAACGGCUCACCAAGGCCACGAUGCGUAGCCGACCUGAGAGGGUGAUCGGCCACACUGGGACUGAGACACGGCCCANACUCCUACGGGAGGCAGCAGUAGGGAAUCUUCCACAAUGGACGAAAGUCUGAUGGAGCAACGCCGCGUGAGUGAAGAAGGUUCUCGGAUCGUAAAACUCUGUUGUGAGGGAAGAACGAGUACCGGAGUAACUGCCGGUACCUUGACGGUACCUCAUUAGAAAGCCACGGCUAACUACGUGCCAGCAGCCGCGGUAAUACGUAGGUGGCAAGCGUUGUCCGGAAUCAUUGGGCGUAAAGCGCGCGCAGGCGGUCCCUUAAGUCUGAUGUGAAAGCCCACGGCUCAACCGUGGGAGGGUCAUUGGAAACUGGGGGACUUGAGUGCAGAAGAGGAAAGCGGAAUUCCAAGCGUAGCGGUUGAAAUGCGUAGAGAUUUGGAGGAACACCAGUUGGCGAAGGCGGGCUUUUCUGGUCUG